rnacentral:rRNA from 1 species
UACAGAGGUGGCAAGCGUUGUUCGGAAUUACUGGGCGUAAAGGGCGCGUAGGCGGCCUUCUAAGUCAGACGUGAAAUCCCCAGGCUUAACUUGGGAACUGCGUCUGAUACUGGGAGGCUUGAGUGCGGGAGAGGGAUGUGGAAUUCCAGGUGUAGCGGUGAAAUGCGUAGAUAUCUGGAGGAACACCGGUGGCGAAGGCGGCAUCCCGGACCGGCAUUGACGCUGAGGAGCGAAAGCCAGGGGAGCAAACGGG